rnacentral:snoRNA from 1 species
UCCUUCGGUUCGUAAGCACGAUGAUGAUUGGGUGUUCAUGCUAUUGUGUGAGAUGUGCCUCCCUCUAAACCUUGUUACAACAUCGGCACAUUACCUGUAUGAC